UGAGGGUUACGGACGGUCGCGGGGGCUUCACGGCCUCUGAGGAAAGUCCGGGCUGCAUAGGGCAGGGAUACCGGGUAACGCCCGGCGGCGGCGACGCCAGGACAAGUGCAACAGAAAUAGACUGCCCCAUUCUCUGGGGUGAUGGUGGAAAGGUAGGGUAAGAGCCUACCCGCCGGACGGUGAAACGUACCGGUGCUGUAAACUCUAUCCGCAGCAACGUUGGAGCCGCCGUUCAGUCGGCAGGGUUGCCCGCCCGGCUCCGUAUUCGGCUCGAGGAGCGCGGCGACGCGCUUCCCAGACAGAUGACCGUACUUUGACAGAACCCGGCUUACAGUAACCGCUCACCUU
rnacentral:RNase_P_RNA from 1 species